GUGCGUAUCAAAGAAAUGAUUUCUGUGAGACCAGACUCUUGCAUCUUCCCACACAUAGUAAAGGACUCAAUUCCUUAACUUGAGAUAUCUGGUUUUCUUUAAUUAACAAUAACCUUUUGGUGUUCAGAUCACUUGCCCUUUGUUACGAAACUUCUAUAUAACUUGGCUCCCCUCCUCACCUCCUCAGGGCAGUUCUCUCAGGGUCACUUGAAAUGCUUCUCCUGGGCUUGCAGUCCUAAAAAUUCCCUCUAAAGAAAGCAUAACUCUCAACAUUCAGGUUGUGAACGUUUUUUAAGUCCACAACCAGAAGUGUACAUGAGUUUUGACCUGGAUGGAAAAAAGAAAAUUCAGCUCUUCCUUUGCAAUGUUUUUUUCUAGAAAUUUGACCAGUUUUCAAUAACCCCCUUUCCAAGUCUUUUGCUUAAGGAAACCUAUGUAAACUCUGUAAAUUACAAUCAGCAUUCUACCCCAUCAUGGUUUUGAGGGCACCUCUUAGGACUCCCUGCUGUCUGUCCACAGCCCCUCCUUUGCCUUCCAAAGUCAGCUGUGGAGAGAUUAAAAGUUGCACAAUAGAGACAAAUAUUUGUCUUAGUGGACAUUUAGAAGAACAUCACGGCCUGACCUACGUGGACAACUACUAGAACAAAGGAUUUCUACACCAAGAAGAUUGUACCAACUAGCCACGCCCCUUCCUCGCCUUGUUUGUAAAACUGCUUUUCUGAAACCUGGAGUUCCAACUUUUGGGGGGCAUGAGCCACCUGUCUCCUUGCGUGGCCCUGCACCAACCUUCCUCUGUUACAAUUUCGGUAUUUGGCCUCACUGUGUGUCAGGCGCCUAAACCUUCCCUCGGUAACAGUCAAGUGGUGCAGUAUGUGAGCUCCAGACGGCAAACAAGAGCCAGGUUUUUCCUCCAGAAGUAAGAGGAGGGAAUUCCCUGGUGGUCCAGUGACUAACACUCCACGCUCCCAAGGCAGGAGGCCCAGGUUCGAUCCCUGAUUGGGGAAUUAUAUUGUACAUGCUGCAACUAAGACCUGGUGCAGCCAAUUUAAAAAAAAGGAAGUGACCCUUUGUGAUUCACUAACAGUAGGGUUUCCGUGGAGGCUUUGCUUGGAU
ensembl:lncRNA